rnacentral:tRNA from 1 species
GCGGCCGUAGCUCAGUUGGAUAGAGCGAGCGCCUCCUAAGCACUAGGUCACAGGUUCAAUUCCCGUCGGUCGCGCCA